GAAUUCGCCCUUAGAGUUUGAUCCUGGCUCAGGACUAACGCUGGCGGCGUGCCUAAUACACGCAAGUCGAACGGUCGUGCGUUUGUAGCAAUAUGGACGUACGAUAGUGGCGAACGGGUGAGUAACACGUGGAAAACCUACCCUCGAGCGGGGGAUAACUCCGGGAAACUGGGGCUAAUACCGCAUGACAUCCCAACCUGGCAUCGGGAGGGGAUCAAAGCCGAAAGGCACUUGAGGAUGGUUCCGCGGCCUAUCAGCUAGUUGGCGGGGUAACGGCCCACCAAGGCGACGACGGGUAGCCGGCCUGAGAGGGCGAUCGGCCACAAGGGGACUGAGACACGGCCCCUACUCCUACGGGAGGCAGCAGUAGGGAAUUUUGCUCAAUGGGGGAAACCCUGAAGCAGCGACGCCGCGUGGGCGACGAAAUCCUUCGGGAUGUAAAGCCCUUUUAACCGGGACGAAAUACAUGACGGUACCGGUGGAAUAAGCCUCGGCUAACUCCGUGCCAGCAGCCGCGGUAAGACGGGGGAGGCAAGCGUUGUCCGGAAUCACUGGGUGUAAAGGGCGUGUAGGCGGGCCGGCUAGUCGGUUGUUAAAUCUCUCCGCUCAACGGAGAAGCUGCGGCCGAUACUUCCGGUCUUGAGUGCGGCAGGGGAGGAUGGAAUUCCUGGUGUAGCGGUGAAAUGCGUAGAUAUCAGGAGGAACACCGGUGGCGAAGGCGGUCCUCUGGGCCUGCACUGACGCUGAGUGCGCGAAAGCUGGGGUAGCAAACAGAAUUAGAUACUCUGGUAGUCCCAGCCCUA
rnacentral:rRNA from 1 species